UACGUAGGGUGCAAGCGUUAAUCGGAAUUACUGGGCGUAAAGCGUGCGCAGGCGGUUUUGUAAGUCUGACGUGAAAUCCCCGGGCUCAACCUGGGAAUUGCGUUGGAGACUGCAAGGCUAGAAUCUGGCAGAGGGGGGUAGAAUUCCACGUGUAGCAGUGAAAUGCGUAGAGAUGUGGAGGAACACCGAUGGCGAAGGCAGCCCCCUGUGUCAAGAUUGACGCUCAUGCACGAAAGCGUGGGGAGCAAACAGG
rnacentral:rRNA from 1 species